rnacentral:miRNA from 1 species
CUGCCUAUUGGAGCAGCCCCAAUCCCAUUCCUACUUGCGUGCAAGCAGGAGGGGGUUGGGAUCCCUCAGCUGGGAAGGGAGGCUUGCCGUUGCCUAACUGAGAGACCCCUGCCCUGCUCCUGCUUGCACACAAGUAGGAGCUGGGAGGCUGCUCCAAUAGGCAG